rnacentral:tRNA from 2 species
GCGAGUGUGGCGAAAUUGGUAUACGCGCUAGACUUAGGAUCUAGUGGUUCAUCCGUGAGAGUUCGAGUCUCUCCACUCGCACCA